AGCUAAAAUAUAAACAAACUUGGUAUCAAGUCUUGCUGUGUGGCCAUUGACAUCCUGAAUCCUGACUGUGGCAUGUGCUUUUGCACAGAAAAUUAAGAUUUUGGAGGUACCUAUUUUGAAGAAAAAGUGUAUAGAGAGAUAAAGCUGCUAUCCAUCACGGACCUGCAUGAUCCAUCUAACCUCUGAAUCACAGCUGUGUGACUGGAAUGAGCUGUGAAUGAAGAUGUGUCUGUCACAACAUUUGGAGAAUUUCAGGUUUGGAAUCAU
ensembl:lncRNA